AAAAUAUAUACAUGUACAUCUCACAAAACAAUUAUAAAAUAUAACCUUUUUUGCACUAAAUACUUGUAACUUUUUUUCACUUUUGAUAUAAGCACUAUUUACAUAUCAGACUUAAACUGGUAAAAACAGAUGAAAACAUCUUUUGUCUCAACACAUAAUAAUAUUACACAUGUACAUUGAAGUCAUGCACAACAUGCACAUAGGAAGUUUUUAAACACACAUUGUAAAUUUAACCAAAAAUUUGCAUAUAGGAUGCAUUUUAAAAACAAUAUAUACACUUUCGUAGACUAGCAAGAGCACUAUUUACAAGAUGUCUUCUCAAAACAAUAUAUAACACAUUUUUGUAGACAAGCAAGAGCACUAUUUACAAGAUUGAAAU
rnacentral:lncRNA from 1 species